rnacentral:rRNA from 1 species
CCUACGGGAGGCAGCAGUGGGGGAUAUUGCACAAUGGGGGGAACCCUGAUGCAGCGACGCCGCGUGGGUGAAGAAGCGCCUCGGCGCGUAAAGCCCUGUCAGCAGGGAAGAAAAUGACGGUACCUGAAGAAGAAGCCCCGGCUAACUACGUGCCAGCAGCCGCGGUAAUACGUAGGGGGCAAGCGUUAUCCGGAUUUACUGGGUGUAAAGGGGGCGCAGACGGCGAUGCAAGCCAGGAGUGAAAGCCCGGGGGCCAACCCCGGGACUGCGCUUGGAACUGCGUGGCUGGAGUGCAGGAGGGGCAGGCGGAAUUGCUGGUGUAGCGGUGAAAUGCGUAGAUAUCAGGAGGAACACCGGUGGCGAAGGCGGCCUGCUGGACUGCAACUGACGUUGAGGCCCGAAAGCGUGGGGAGCAAACAGGAUUAGAUACCCCAGUAGUC